UGGGCAGGGUAUGGCAUCCGCCAUACCUUGAUUCUGGGGCAAUUUUUUUUAUACCUAUGCAUCUAUCGAUCGGCAGACUCUGGAUCGGCAUCGGCUGUUUCGUUCGACCGCAGCCAGCAGCGCUGGCCUGAUGGGCUGACGCAUCCAGCUGUUGGGCCACGCAGGCAGGCACGACAGGUUCGAUUCCAUUGAGAGUGUCUAAAAAAAGGUUUGAUUCGAUCGAGCGGCCACACACACAACGCACACGCACGCACGCGACCAACUCUACCCAGACGCGACGCAACCCUAAGCAGCUAGCGCGAUGGCGGCUGCUGGCCAUGUCGCGAGGACCAGGCGGGCGACUGAUGACGGGGGCAGCUGACGGCGGCGGCAGGCUGGGGGCUUAUAGGGCUGCCGCAGCAAGCUCCAGCGAAGGAAGCAAGCGGCGGCUUCAGUGGCGGUAGAAGCAAGUUCCAGCAGACGACGGCAGUUGGGAAUUUUCCUGGCCAUUCCCCGGUGUACGAACCAGAGGACUAAUUGCAGCCACUUUGUUGGGUAUUGGCAAUUUUUCUUCUGUCAAUUCUGCAGGAUCUGAACCAACUACAGUAAUUCUGAAUAUAACGGAUAAAAAUUUAUGUAGCGACCUUGUACAAUAUGGUGGAAAGUUUGUCUAUAUUUUUUCAUUCAUGCUAGUGUACUGUGGACGCACAAGUUUUUGUUUUUAGAUGAUUAUGCAUAAAAGCUAAUAAGAUGCCCAACUGGCGCAGUUCUAGACGCCAUUGAAAUCUUCAUUAUUGGUUUGUUUUAGGUUAUUUUCCUAUUGAAAUAUGCCUACAUUUUCAUUGUAUUGGGGUUUCCGUUUGUAAUGUGUAUUGACUCUUUUGAUUUGCAUCAAAAAAAUUCUUUCCUUAAGACUUCGCCACACCUUAAAAAAAAUUCGUCCUCCGCCUCUGAUCGAGGGAGUGCGUGCAGGGGAAGAACAAGGCCACCAAAAUGGUCGACAGAGAAAGAAGCAGUGUAGGGAAAGAUGGUUCCAUGUUAGGGACUCAGAAGUCAGUACUGGCAGAUUGAAAGUUGUUUUCAUGCCACGUGUUUCUCGAUUAUAUUAGUCAAAGAAUUGUUUUUUAAGCCCAAGCCGCCGGAAAUGGCUAAGUCAAACUCGAACGCGAAAGGGAUGAAUCCAAUACAAACUUUUUUGAAAAGUUUGUCGCACAUGCCUUAUUGGAUUAUAUCGAGGAAGGUGCCGUGAUGGUACACAAGCUGAUCGCUCCAUUGAGGAAGGUGCCAUGAUGGUACACAAGUUGAUCGCUCCAUCUAGCCACUUGGACUAUAGUAGUAAGUUUCUGGCUUCAACUGCUCAAUGGAUGACGCUCAUGCCACCCUCCAUGGGAUGAUGCACAUUAUAUAUGCACACAUUUGGUGCCUAGCAUUCUUGACUUGUGCCUCAUCAAGCCAACUGCUCCUGAUUCCUGAAGCGGUAAAAAGAGCGAGCUUUGAG